AGGAAACAGUGUGGAUCACAAGGAGGUGAUUGAGAGCUACUCUGCGUCUGGAAGAGUGAGGAGGAGCCUGUGUGGCAGAACAAAAUGGAUAAGGUCGUUCCAGCCGUGCAGAGGUGUGGAGGUGUGAGCCUGCAGACUCUUCCAGCUGGAGUUGGAGGCUGACGCCCUAGUGAAUUUCCAUCAGUAUUCUUCCCAGCUGCUACCCUUCUAUGAGAGCUCCCCUCAGGUCCUGCACACUGAGGUCCUGCAGCACCUGACUGACCUCAUCCGUAACCACCCCAGCUGGUCAGUGGCCCACCUGGCUGUGGAGCUAGGGAUCCGCGAGUGCUUCCAUCACAGCCGUAUCAUCAGCUGUGCCAAUUGCGCGGAGAACGAGGAGGGCUGCACACCCCUGCACCUGGCCUGCCGCAAGGGUGAUGGGGAGAUCCUGGUGGAGCUGGUGCAGUACUGCCACACUCAGAUGGAUGUCACCGACUACAAGGGAGAGACCGUCUUCCAUUAUGCUGUCCAGAGUGACAAUUCUCAGGUGCUGCAGCUCCUUGGAAGGAACGCAGUGGCUGGCCUGAACCAG
rnacentral:sRNA from 1 species